GAGAGAGAGAGAAUGACAGCGGAUGAGAGCUGCGUGUCCCGACGGGCUGUUUGCACCGCGUGAGGUAGUGAAAGAAAGCGGCUUCCCUUCCCAUCCCCCACCGUUUCCGGACGCAUUCUUCUCUCCUUUCCUCCCCCGCCCCCGCGUGACCGUUUUUAACCGUUGGGGGAGAGGCGGGGCGGUAGGUUGCUGCGCGUGCGCAUUGGGAAAUUCUGGGGUUUUUCCCUCAGACGGUUCGCAGUGAACAUAGAAGCCUUGAUGCGACAUUUGCAGGAUCGUCGUUCGAGCGAGGUGCGAGCGCGCGCUCUUUUCCCCUUCCCCCUUCUCCCGAUUGACGACUGGGACCCUCGUUCUCCCCCUUUCCUCCCGCUCUCCCUCGGACCAGGGCGCGCGUUGUCGUCAUUCCGAAGCCGCGCCGUUUGCUGCUUCGCCCAGAAGCCAUUUUCCUAAUCGGCUGCAUGAAGAAGACGGCGAUUUAAAAUGGCGUCGGCGGCGUCUUUCUCUCGUCAAUUAUCGCCUCCUUUCUCUCAGGGGGUUCACCCCCCCUUCUCGUGCCUUAUUUUUAGAUGGGUGAAUGUAAUUAAGUCUUUUCUUGGGUGUGUUGUGUUGUGUAAAAAAAACUCGCGUUCAUAUAUUUUCCUUGCCUAAUUGUCGUUAAAGAUGAAUUGGUUUUUUCAAGGUGCGUUUCAGCACCUUUUAUUGGACUCUUUGUGCUCUUAAAGUUCAGAAGAAUAGUAUUUGGUUAACGUUCUCGUGUCGGACUUGGCAUUAAAAUACCGAUCUGUUUCUGUGUAGUCCUUGGAAUUAAAAUAGUGUGCUUUUUCUCGAGUUGCUUUCGUCUGCUUGCCAGGUAUUCCAGAACACAUAAGGAACAAAACAUUGACUAGAUAAUGGCAUUAACCUUUCUCAGGAGAACAGUCAUAGUUCAGAACAAUCGGCUAGUAUCUUACUACAAAAUAUCUACAAAGAGACAUAAUUGGAAAAGUAGUAGGGAUAGUUGAAUCUGCUGCUAAUUGAAAUAGUAAGUAUUGGGUUGGAGUCUCUAUGCUACCGGUAAGCACUAUGUUUAAUAGUAGAAAUGCUAAAUAGCCAAAAAUAAAAAUAAAAAUGAGUAGAUAUGUGUGGAAUCUUAGCUCAAAAUACAUUUUAUACCUUUGCCUGUUUUUUCCUAUUUGAAUUGUGUUAGAGAAACUGGUUUGUUUUUUGCCUCUUGUUUUUUAAUAAAUUAAGAAAUGAAUGUUUUACAAAUGAAUUUGACAGCAAAUUGUUUUCACCACUUUGAGAACACCUGAAAUAUACACCUGCUGAAACAGUUCAGAGGAGGAGGGAGAAAUCACUUGGUGUAUGAAUGACUCCGGGCAAAAUAAUGCAUUUGGAGAAGCUGGAAAAUAUGCUUGUAGCAAGACUAGGUAAGUAAAUAUUUUUCAGUGGUGGUGAAAUCACAGGAAGAAAUAGGAUGAAAUUUUUAAAAGAUUUAGAAUAAGAUGUACCACUGUCAAACAUGUUUAGAAUGUUGGUGUAAGCUACAUUAGAUCAUUGACCUACAUCCAGUUUUAUUUUUGAGGCUCUGCAUCUUGUGGAAGAACAAAAGGCUAACCAUGUAUUCAAGGAUGUACAAUAUAAUAAAAUAGUAAUUUGAACGGGAAACUGGAUCUCACUUGAUGGACUGCAUGACUGCGGAACUUCUGGACCACCCAUAAAAGAAUGCAGAAGAAUUUGACACAUCUGUUCAUCCAAGAAGCCUUACAAUUUAAAUCCAAGAAUAUGCAAAGACUCCAGGUGGCCUCAUGAAGAAAUUUAAACUUCAUGGGCUGAGAACCUAUAUGUGAAGAACUAGAUUUCAAGAUAAGAGUUUGUUUAAUUUGCUAACAAAUAGCAUAUUAAAUUUCUGGUCUAUUCAUUGAACUCUGCAUUGCAGCUUGUAGUGUUCUAGGCUUGGAAUACGUGCCUGACACUGAUACCUUUCAGAGGAUCUUUUUCUUAGGCUUCUUGAAAUUCUUGAUUAUAAUAACUUUUAAUAUUCUGAUUAUUUUUCAUUAUUCAGGUCAUUACUGUUUACAUUUAAUGACAGUAUCCAUGUUGAGUUGCUUUGAGAACAUCUCUGGGCCUGAAAAUCAAAAUAUUCAAUACAGGCAGCCCCCAAUUUGUGCAGGAGUUGCAUUCUGGGUCAUUGUUUUGAGACUGCAGAACAUGCAUAAACCUACGCUUCUGCCCCACAUUAUAUCUCCUUUUCCAGCCACUUCCAGAUCAUUGUGAUGUGCAAGGUUGUGCAAAUACUGAACAUGUGUAAAUCAGUUGAUGCCUGUAAUUAAAAAAAACAAUGCUAAGCUUAAGAACAUAUACAAAGCAUAGGAUCUAUUUCUAUCUUUAGGGCAUAUAAAGCAUUCUUGUAACUGGAUUAUAAAGACUGAUUUCUUACGAAUGUGGAAUGAGUAUUGUACUGCUUGUAACAAUGCCCGUUCUGCAUUUUGAAUUAGUUGAGGGGGCAUAUAUGGGGCAAAUAAUUCUCACAAGUAAGCUGGUCCCAAGGUUUAAGGGCUGUAUAUACUAAUAGUAACACUUGAACUUGGCAAUUGGUAACAAUUUGUUCUUGAACUGGUAACAAUUUGAACUUGGCAACUGGUACAGGUCUCUGAAGGGAUGCUAGUGGCGCUGAGCCUCUUGGGCUUGCUGAUUGGAAGGUCGGCGGUUCAAAUCCCUGCAAGGGGUUGAGCUCCCAUUGCUCGGUCCCAGCUCCUGCCAACCUAGCAGUUGGAAAAUAGGUACCUCUCCGGUCGGAAGGUAAACAGCAUUUCUGUGCAAUGCUCUGGUUUCGGUGUUCCGUUGCACCAAAAGCAGCUUAGUCAUGCUGGCCACAGGACCCAGAAAAACUGCGGACUAAUGCCAGCUCCCUCAGCCUGUAAAGCGGGAUGAGCACCACAACCCCAGAGUCAUCUGCGACUGGGCUUUACUGUCAGGGGUCCUUUACCUUUGCAGGUCUCUGAGCAGAGCUGUUAUAUGCUGGCAUAGUCUCAAUCCUGUCAGAAUUAAUGCUGCAGCAUUGUGAACUAACUACAACUUCUGGAUUAAGUGCUAGGGAAGCUGAUACAAGUCAAUUGCAGUAAUCCAAUCUUGAAGUAACCUACAUGAAUUACUGUGACCAAGCAUUCCUAACCCAGAAAGGCCAUAGCUGUUGUACCUUUUACCAGCUAUAACAGGUACAACUAGCAUCUGAAGCUACCCGGGCCUCCAGUGUCAAAGCUGGAUUCAGAAGUACACCCAGCCUGCAAACCUCCAGGGGGAGCGCAACCCCAUCCAGGGUAGACAAGUUACCAAUUUCUCAGACAUGGAAACCACACAUCCUCAGUACCUCUUUUUUGCCCAGGAUUGAAACUCACCUUUGUUUUCCUCAUUCAUCUCGCCACUGUUUCCAGACACCCAGUGUUGGAGACAGAGCUAUGAAAGCUAGGAACUAAAUGGCACUUUAAGCUUAGGUUAUGGGCACAACAACUGAAUGUCUUAAGCACACUUUUUUUAAAAAUAACAAUACAAAGAUGAAAAUGAACAGCUAAAAUCUAUUUUUCACAAGGUCUAGUCCUCUGAAGACAAAAAGAAGCAAUACUCCGCCUAGAGCUUAGAAACUGCUUGCACUAAUGAAAUUCCUUGGGGGUUUCGAACACUGCAGAGAACACUGCAUGAUGUGAUGACUCCUGGAUGAUAGCCAAAAUUUCCAGCUGCUGAAGGUGGAACAGAUUAUACGGUUUAAAUGUUCAUGUGUGUACAUGUCAUUUAAAACUAUUAGAUACUGUGUGUAUCUUCUACAGCUUGUGCCCAAAUCAUUCCUGAAGGGGGUAUGUGUUGGCAGCUGGUGUUGCUUAAGACUUAUGGAAAAAAUACACCCACACAAGUUUUGUGUGUAAGAACUGCUGUUUAUAGAACCCUAAAAUACAACCAGAAGGAAUGCAGUACGUCAGUACCUUGAGGAGCCACGCUAUCAUCCAGUCUGUAUUUGGGGGCGAUCUGCAGAGAAAUAUACUAACUUGUACAGAGCUAUGCCAAAUGAGUUGGAUGGGUAUGGUUGGAAGUAGACCAAGCUUAUUUCUGGCUACAAAUAGGUGUUGAGGUAUUUGUGUCUCACCGCCUAGAUUUCAGCAUCCAUCUCAUAAUUGACAUUCAGUUAUACAUUCAAUAGGUAGAGGAAAAAGAAUUGUUAACAUAGCUGUUAAAGUUUCCAAGAAAAUAUACUUUGAAGUUAGCCUGGCAAUAGCAAAGAUUGAAAGAUGCUUCCAUUGGCUGACAGGAUUAUGAUGGCAUAAUUCAAGAUACAGCAUCAUCUACAGUGGUACCUUGGUUUAUGAACACAAUUGGUUCCGGAAGCCUGUUCAUAAACUGAAGCGUGCAUAAACUGAAGCAAACUUUCCCAUUGAAAGUAAUGGAAAGUGGAUUAAUCUGUUCCAGACGGUCCGCAGAGUACUUAAACUGAAGCGUUCAUAAACUGAAGCAAACUUUCCCAUUGAAAGAAAUGGAAAAUGAAUUAAUCCGUUCCAGAUGGGUCCGCGGCGUUCGUAAACCAAAAAUUCAUAAACCGAGGUGUUCAUAAACCGAGGUUCCACUGUAAUGAGAAAUUCAGUUUAUACUGAUGGCUUUUCAUCCUCCUGCCAUUUUUUUGAUAAGUCUAUGGACAGUUGUCAGACACCGACAUCCUGGUGAACUAUCAAGCUGAGCGAAUUGAAAUCUUCAAAGAAAGAUGUGGGUUCUGUUUCACCAACUGCCGUUACCAUGAUGGACUGCCUUCUGCCUUUCCUAGUCAAUCUGUCACUUUGUAGGCCCCAAAAUCUUGCCUUGGCACGACAACACUGACGAAGCAGCAUUUUAAAAUUUUCUGAGGAGACUUGUCAUUCCACAGCCACCCUCCUUCUAGAAUUCCUUGGUUGAUUCAAGAGGCUGAGAUAUUAAUGACCUUUAAAUGCCUCUUAAAAGCAUAGAAGUUUACCCAAGCUUUCCUGGAUUCUGACUGUUGUGCUUUUAGUUUUGGUUUUCUACACAACCACUUUUUAUUAUCAAUUGUGUUCUUACCUAGUUCUUAAAAAUAAAAAGUACCUUUAACAAGCAUCAUCUAAGGUAUAUUAAUGAAAUGAAAUCCUAAGGGCUUAUUUUUACAACAAAAAGUGGGGAAAGAAACUGCAUUCACAAUAGAACAAUGGAUUUACAGUUACUCAGUUGGAACCAAGAUAUCACCUGUUGUUGCAGUUUGAAAGAACAGUACCACAGCUUCUAUGAAAGCUUUAUUUUUGUGACGUUCUACCCCAGCAAGAUUAGGGUUCUGUACACAACACCCAUUUAAGGCACAUGGCUUCCCCCAAAGAAUCAUGGGAACUAUACCCCUCACAGAGCUAUAAUCUCCAAUACCCUCAGCAAACUAUAGUUCCCAGGAUUCUUUGGGACAUGUGCAUUAAGUUUAUGGUGUGUACACAGCUCAGGGAUAAUGUAAUAAUAAUAAUAUUAAUUUAUUAUUUAUACAUCGCCUGCUCUGGGCGGCUUCCAACAGAACACCAAAAUACAAUAAUAUAUUAAACAUAAAGCUUCCCUAAAAGUGUAGAGCUCUCCAGGCUGCACAGGAAAAUACUACAAUUGGAAAGGGCCAUACCUGUGUUGAAAAUCACUCUCCUAAUGGUGAGCAAGAACUUCAGGGAUGGAGAAGAGAGUUCCUUUCUGUGCUUUCAUCUGUGGCACUUCAGCCCUGCAUUUUUUAAUGUGGCAGUAAGGAAAUGGAAAGUGACUGGGAUUUCCAGAAUUGCCAAGAGAAAAACCUCAAGUGCGCUCUCUCUCUCUCUCUGUGUGUGUGUGUGUGUGUGUGUGUGUGUGUAGGCGGGAGCACAUUUCCCCUCCUGCCCUUUACACGAGGACUCCAUCCCCGACAGGCCUCUGUGGUGUUUGCCCAUUCCUGGGGAACUACAACUCUGCAGGAGUGGGAAAAGGGUUAAUAGGCUGACCAAUAAGAAGCCGGAGGCGGAGCUUAGGGCUUUAAUAGCCCAGCCCUGAAGCAGUUGAGAAGCAGUUGAGUUGGGAGUAGUGGUUGUGAGGGUUGGUGUGUGGGACUUGAUGGUGGUGAGCUAGAGUGAGAUUCAGACAAGUUUAAGACUGAGAAAACUGUGUAACAGUGUAACUAAUACCUGAAGCUUGUUGGUAUUUAAAAUAAACACUUGUUUCUUUGUUUAACUUAAAAUCCUGACUGUGACUCAGCAAUUUACCAGGGGGAUCCUGAUUGGUGGCAGCAGAGCAGUGGUGGCACAGGGUCAAUAGCCCGUGAAAUGGUCGGGGGCCCUGUGUGAAUGCCACAGCCUCCUCUCUUAUGCAAGUUAUUAGGAUAGGAAUUAGAGAAGGAGGGGGAGUUGAGAGUUGAGAGUGAAAGAUUUAUGGGGAGGCUUCAUUUCUUAAAUAUUUUCCUCCAUUGCAAGAACCAGUGUGUGCCCUGUGCUUUAGAGUUCCUAAAAUUAAUAAAAUCCAGUAAGCAUUGGGGGGCACUCUCUUGCUUUUCCCAAAGCAUGGCAUGCUUUCAAAUUGUUCCUGAUAUCCCAAACUACCGGUAAAAAAAAUAUUUCUAUGCCUUUUGGUCAAAGCCUUCUCAUCUCCAGCAUUCUACACCUAAAACUGAGCAUUGAACGUAACGCCCUAAAACCCUUGGCUACUUCUGCGUAACCCACACACCGGCUGUAAAGUUGAGUGCACCCUUUGGGAGGCAGCAAUUACCGCUAAACAGGACGUUAUUCAUAGCAAACAGCACUUCUCUGCCCAAACAAUUUCCCCAUUUAGGGUCUGGGAGAAAUCUUAACUGCCCUCCAUGAUUCAGAGCUUUGGUAUCAGAACCUCAAAUGUUUAGUUUUUAUAUGCUUGUAAAUGUUUUGUUUGAAGGCAAACAGAGUUGGCCAGGAUUUUCAAGAGCCCAAGUGGUUUUUAAGCCCAGCUGUGCAAAACUGGCACUGUCUAUAGUUUGAGAUGCUGCCCUAAACUUCCAUAGCACAGCUGGGCCUAAUGAGAUAUUGUUACUUAUUGGGGUCUUAAGAACAGAGCAAGCCACCAGCAGCUAAAGAGGUUUUACCCAAGUAAUCUUAACAAAAUGUCUGCAGCCACAACCCUGAGGAUGCCCAUGUCAAUCUGGCUAUAGCAUGUUAGAGACGUUGUACAUUCUGAUUAAGAAUUAAGGCACUUGUCCAGGUGUGGAAAACCUUUGGCCCUGAUGUUGCAUGGCCAAUGGGCAACGAUUUCUCCAAUAGCUCACCAGCCCCCUAAACUCACUACUUUUGAGAGAUCAUCACUAAAUCUUGCUGGACACCCACUUUACUGUCUUUUAGAGGCCUGGUUGAAGUUUUCAUCUUAAGACAUUUUAAUAUUUCAUAUCUUAAAUCAUUGGCUGUUAGAACAUUUUCUAUCUUCCCAUUUUUGUUAUAUUUUGCUUUUGUUUGUACUUGAUAUUAUUGCGUUUUACAUUAUUCUAAGCCAGGCAUCCCCAAACUUCGGCCCUCCAGAUAUUUUGGACUACAAUUCCCAUCUUCCCCGACCACUGGUCCUGUUAGCUAGGGAUCAUGGGAGUUGUAGGCCAAAACAUCUGGAGGGCCGCAGUUUGGGGGUGCCUGUUCUAAGCCAUCCUGGAAUAAGAUUUUAUUAGCUUUUAUUCAUUGUUGAGGUGCAGCGAGUUUUGUUUGUUUUUCCUCUUUUUUAAUAGUUUUGCAUUUCUCUGUAUUUCAAUUUUAUUUUAACUUAUUUAUUGUAAGAUGUUGAAAGAACUUCAUUAUGGGCCAGCAUACACAUGAGAUAAUCAAAUAGAUAAGUGCUUUUUUAAAAUAAACAGUAGUUCAAAUAAUAAUAUCAUUGUAAUCUUUAUUUAGAGCAUUUUUACCCUGCUGUUGUGGAACAAACUGCCAGAUCAAUUGGGGAAAAGGUCAGAAUUGUAUGGCUUGCAAUAGGCACAACAGAGAGAGAGAGGUGAGGAGGGAGAAAGUGUUGUAAAAAUUGGGGUUUGGCUUUUGCUGCCCAACUUCCCAUGGGACUCUGAGUCCCCUAAGUCCAUGAUCAGUUAGAGAAAAAUGGAUGGAGACUAGAUCCAGUAGAAAGCAAGGCAGAUGUUUAUUUUUCUGUUGCAACAGAGUUUCCUCCUCCUUCCAAGGAGGGAGAGACCCUGAACAAAAGCGUGCAGGAACCUUUAAAGACUUUUGACAUUGUCCAACCCCCUUAGCCAAAGACCACCACCCCAAUCAUACAUACAUCAUAGGAGGUGGUCUACAGCAGAAAUCCUUUCUGCCAGGAUACCAGAUAAUGGUCACUGAUUGCAUUACUAGGGCAGCUUGGCCAUUCUUAUGUGAUGGUUAAUACUAUAGUUCCUGAAUGCAGGUCACAGGCUCACCCAUGUUGUUUAGUUGUGUCUGACUCUUCAUGAUCCCAUGGACCAGAGCACGCCAGGCAUUCCUGUCUUCCACUGUCUCCACAGUUUGGUCAAACUCAUGUUGGUAGCUUCGAGAACACUGUCCAACCAUCUUGUCCUCUGUCGUACCCUUCUCCUUGUGUCCUCCUCCCUAUUCAUACACAAAUACGCCCUUAAGACAGUAUUUAUAAGCAAAAAGACCAGUGGGAAGGCUUUCCCCAUUUGCCUCCCUUACUGCAGAGGAAUAUUUGAGGUCAUUGGGGGAGUCAAAAUGGCUUCAGGGUUGCCCUCCUGUACUGUUUUAGACACAUGGUUUAUAUAUUUAGAUAUGGGUGCAUUUAAUAAUAUUUAUUCUAUAUUUGAGACCUUAAAAUUCGUAUAACAAAGGAAAAACAACUCUUCAAAGUUUUUACAUAGAUGAUGGAAACAGAAGUGUACCCAGGUACCUUUCACCCUUUUCAAGGAGCUAUAUCUGCAUUGCCCCCUGCCCCCCAAAACAGCCUCUUUACUGCAUGCCUUUGUGUUGUGGCAGGAGAAGGGCAGGAAGCUUCUCCCAUGUUUGAUCUCACUACCACAGUGUUGCUGUGUCACCAUACACAUAUAUGUCAUACAGUCCAUAGUCUGAUAGGUGAUCUUUGUGUCCCUCCAGGGUUGUACCUGUGGCAGAAGCCGGUUUCGCCAGCUCCUUAGGUACACCUCUGGAUGGAAACACAUCAGUGAGAGCCAAACUGAACUGGUCCUUAAUAGUCAAGAGAACAGCCCUGCCUCCUCCAGAGAAGCGGACACGGAGCAAUGGAUUCAAAUGUCAAGAAAGAAGAUUCCACCUAAACAUUAGGAAGAACUUCCUGACAGUAAGAGCUGUUCGGCAGUGGAAUUUGCUGCUAAGGAGUGUGGUGGAGUCUCCUUCUUUGGAGGUCUUUAAGCGGAGGCUUGAUGGCCAUAUGUCAGGAAUGUUUUGAUGGUGUUUCCUGCUUGGCAGGGGGUUGGACUGGGUGGCCCUUGUGGUCUCUUCCAACUCUAUGAUUCUAUUUUAUGAUUCUAUGAUUCCUCCUUUACCACAAUGCUGUUCAGAAGGCUUUGGGCUAUCUCUAGCAUUCCCUGUCUGCAAGGGCUGUUGUGCUAGUGGACAGGUGUGUUCGAACGUUGCACACUUAGAAAUCCAAUGCAGCAGUUGCACUAGCAGAAAUUUGUUGGGCAAUAUAUAGCACAAACUAUUGCACAACAAAAGUACUAGCAACCUGCUUGUGCAUUUUCUCAUGCAACACUGUUCUGCUGGUGCAAUCAUUUUGCCAGUGGAACAAAUCUACUAUUAAGAGACUUUAUCUUAACACUACGUUGGAUACAACCCCUGGCUUGUUACCAUGGCUUGGUGUGAACGUGCAUAUUCCCAAGAGACGUGAUGGUGGCAAUUUUGCUCCUCCAAUCCUGAUGCUGCCAUGUUUCUUUGAGCUAAGCCAUGGUUUGACUUAGGAUGUUGCCUGAACCCAAGCUUGUGAUUUGUCUUGCUUCAGACAAAUCAUGAAUUGUAGCCAUAACCUAUAACCAUAUCUUGUAACUUACAUAGUCCACUUCUAAAAAUGUGUGAAAAAAGGCUUCCAGUGCCAUUUUAAGACUUCCAUUUUAAGGAACUUGCUUGUGAUCCAUUUUAAAUAGUUAAACCAUUUAUUGAAAAACUGAGAAAAAAUAUUUAUGUCCUCUGUUAUAAAAAGAAAAGUGUGCAGCCUGCAGAAGAAAAUAGUUCAAUAUUUAUAUCUAUACUUCAAAUGUUUGAUUUACCCCUUUUUGUAUUUAUAAUACGAUGAAACAAGUGAAAAUGCCAGUUAGGGCCAGCCAGGAAUUCAGGUUAUGUUGCAAUGUAGGCCACAUAAAAAAUUAGCUUUCUUUUUCAUCUAUACACAGAGACAAAAUACAAAGAGAUACUCUAACAAUGGUAUCAAAGCACGCCCCAAGUGCCAUUCCUAAUUUAUCUUACAUACUACAUUUCUAUACAAGGUAUAGAAUUGUGCUUUAUAGAUUGGGGAAGCCAGAUUUCUACAGCUCCGUUUGCCCUUGGCUAGGAAGAUCCCCUGGUCCAUUUACUUACCAAUCUCUACUAAACCAUCCUUGAUAUAAUGAUGAAUGCAGCAGCAUUAAAAAAAAAGGAAUAGGGCUGGGGGAGGGGGAAAGCCAGGAUAAAUUCUAGUGGGGCCCCUAUCUCAUGUAUUUCAAGGUGGCGCUGUGGGCUAAACCACUGAGCCUAGGGCUUGCUGAUCAGAAGGUCAGCGGUUCAAAUCCCUGUGACGGGGUGAGCUCCCGUUGCUUGGUUCCAGCUCCUGCCAACCUAGCAGUUCGAAAGCACAUCAAAAUGCAAAUAGAUAAAUAGGAACCGCUAUAGCGGGAAAAGUAAACGGCGUUUCCAUGUGCUGCUCUGGUUUGCCAGAAGCGGCUUUGUCAUGCUGGCCACAUGACCUGGAAGCUGUACGCUGGCUCCCUCGGCCAAUAAUGCGAGAUGAGUGCGCAACCCCAGAGUCGGUCACGACUGGACCUAAUGGUCAGGGGUCCCUUUACCUUUAAACAAAAGCAGUGGCAUAUUUCAUAUUAAUGCUCUAUUCCUAAAUACAUACCGUAUUAAGGCAUUUCUACCUUGUCUAUCCUCCCUUAAAAGGGGUCUGAUAACGACUUAAUGGAGAUCAAAUAUAAAGUGCCUGUCUUACAAUAUUUAUGUGACAACACAUAAGGAAAAGGGAUUGGGAGGGAGGAGGGGAAAACAAAAUCAAAGUGAGGCAGAUAUUCUUAGUCUGAGGCAGAUAUUCUUAGUCUUUCUCACACUUUCUUAUAAUGACCAACUGGAAUGGGAAAAGCUUAAAGGAGAAGAGUUGAAAGUUGCUGAUUGCUCAUCACAGCCAGUGGUGUAGGCCUGCUUCCAUUCUUUCCAAUUUACUCAGGAGGAAGUCUCAUUCAGUGAGUAGUAUAAUCACAGCUUUCCUUCAAGUUCUAAUGUGGGAUUUAACAGUGGUGGUCUCUUGCUGUGGUUUACAUUACAUGGUUUUUUCACCAUAAAGGGUUUUUUCCCCUGGCACAGUCUUUCAAAGUUUGUAUCAAAAAGUGCCUUUUUGUAUCAAAAAGUGCCUUCAAAAAUUGAACAAAUCCAAAUGGCUCAAGUAAGUUUGCCAUUUAACUCAACUCCCUGGUACCUCCAGGAAGGGUUGGGAGAGACACCACACCUGCCUGAAUACCUGGAGAGUUGCUGCCAGUCAGUGAGACAAUACACUGGGCUGGAUGAACACAGCAUAAGACCGCUUCCUAUGUUCCUAGUUCAUCGGCCGGCCACUUGCGGGUAGAAAGCAAAACAGGCAGGGUCUAAUGGAGACAGGCACCUCUUCUCCCUCACCCAUAAGUGUCUGCUGAUAGGAUUGCCAAAUCAAGAAAACCCAGAUUGCUCUGCUUUGCCUUGAGCCGAGUUCUGAGCCCCAGAAAUCAGCAAGUGAACCUGUUAAUGGAAAAGUGACUAGCAGAAUCCCGUUAAUUGCUGCAGACCCAGAACAGCUGCUAAAAGGAUUCUUAAAAGGGAUUUUUACAGGGGAUUCUUAAAAAGCUGCAGACUUGAAUUGGCUCACUAAGCUACUGUGUUGCACACUGGACUAGUCGACAUGAAAGAUGGUACUCUGUCACAAGAACAGAACGAAGUAUGCUGGCUGACAUCUCUUUCCCAUCUUUUCUUUUUUUGACAAACACUGGAACUUCGGAAUUAUCUCUCCUUAGAAGGAAACCUUAGGAGCAGAGCACAUCUCACCCCCACCCCCGCAAAAAGAUGAAAUAAAACCACACUGGAGAAACAUAGAUCGGGACUUCAUGGUGUUCAUUGGAUGAGAUCCUGGAGGAAUUUGGCAGAUGAUGUCAUGGCUUCAAAACGAGUUACUCCAGCCUCCGAAACAUAAGCAUACAUUUGCUUCAGUGGAAUAUAUAUAAUCAUUGGAUUAUUGGAGAAUGUCCAUUUCUUUUUAGACGGUUCCAAAUUCUUAAAUAUUUCCACCACCACCCAAAAAGAAAUAAAGCCACAGGAGGGCUGUGCACAGCUGCACUUUUUGAAUAAGGUUCUUAAUCCCAGGAAACCAGGGCUUCAUUCCUAAAUGGGGGGAAAGAGACACAUGGACUCAAGUUGGUCUAGAAACAGAAUAUGAAAGGCAUUUUAACUUAACUUGUGACAUUUGCUGCUCCUGUGUGGUGAGGACAGUGCACUCUGCACAUGUUCAGGGGCAUGUUCAUUCAUUCCAGGGGCUUUCAAACUGUGCUUGGAGGAGUCCCAGUUUUACUAGGUGUUGAUGAGGUUCUCAUGGAGGACAGCCAUCGUGGUGGUGGGGAGGACAUCCCUGAAAGUUGGCUUGCAUUCACAAGAGUAGAGGAGCACUGGGUGUGCUCUAGUUUAUGGCCUAUGGGUCAUGCCAACUGAGUGUGUGCCCUCACAAAUACCCAUAACCCUUUGCAAUAUGCAGAUAUGUCAACAUGUCAUGUGUGUUCUCUAAGGAGAAGUAGUCCGUACUUGAAGGACAGAGUUCCCUCCAACAGCAGGCAGUGGUGGCCAUCAACGUGGAUGGCUUUUAAAGAGGAUUGGAUGAAUUUAUGGAGAAGAUAGUUAUCGAUGACUAUUCUACUAUUCACAGUCAGGGGCACUAAUGCUUCUGAAUACUAGCUGCUGGACUCUGCAGGAAGGAAGAAUAUGGGAAUGAGUUCCAUUAACUCUGUGCUGUGUGGACAAAGUCAUUUCUUUUAUUUGUCCUGAAUUUUCCGACAUUCGGCGUCAUUGGAUGCCCAUGAAUUCUGCUGUCAUGAGAGAGGGGCUGGAUCUAGACAUGUCUAAGAAGCGAUUCAAUUAAACACGUAAUCUCAUACAGGGAAAUCCAGUAGGGAAAGAUGGGACUACACAACGCCAUCUGGUGUCACAGUACUAUAUUGCCUAUACAACACAUAUAAAAAUGCUUUUUCUUUUCUUUUUUGAAAUUGUUUUUAUUUGAUUUUACAAAUGUAAAGUUGUAACAAUACCAAAUACAUAUCCAUGUAUAGAGAUUUCUCUGAAUAUCAGGACUUCCCACCAUCCCCUCCAUGGGUUCUAUUGUCAACAUUUUCAACUGCAUAUUAUUUCAUAAUCUAUAUUUUGUAUCUGUCCAUAUUGUCCAUAGUGUUUGUUACAAGCGUUAUUAGAAUCCUGCUAAUGUUUUUAUCUGCUUACAGUGGCCUCCUAAAUAAAUUAUAAAUGUCUCCCAUUAUUUUUGUCUUCUUGGUUCUGAGCUUUCCGGUCAGUUUUACCAUUUCGGCGUAUUCCAACAGCUUAGUUUGCCAUUCCUCUCUGAUAGGGACUCUUUCUUCUUUCCAUCUCCCGGCUAGUACCAUCUGUGCGGCUGUCGUCAUGUACAUAAAAAGUCUUUUCUGAUUCUUUGGGAUGUCAUACAAUGCUUUUUCUUUACCAAUCUAGCUGAGUCCAAGGAUAAAAACUUCCCUCUGUUCAUUUUACCCAUGCCAUGCAUCAUCUUAUAAACUUCUAUCAUUUCACCUCUCCACCAAAAGUCCCAAAUGUUGCAACCUUUCCUUGUAGGAGAGUCUCUCCCAUUGAUCAUUUGGGUUGCCCUUUCUGAACAACUCUACAAUAACUUUUUCAUGGUGAGGUGGCCAGAUAAUUGGUUGUCCUCAUAAACUGUCCUCAUAAACUCCUGUAUGUUUACCCUCCCUCUGCCUCUCAUAAAAGCAAUUUCCUCCUCUCCCCAAUGCAGACAGAUAGAUGUUUAUUGCAUACUUCACGUUGUGCUGAAAGGAGCUUAUCUACUGUCUCCUUGUCAGGUUCUCAUAGCCAGCCCUGGCAGCGUAACACAGUUGUCCAUGGGGUGAUGUCAGCCCUGGGCAGGGAGUGCUGACUUGGGGUUGUCAAACUUUCAUAGCAGAGCCAGGAAGAUAUCUGGACAGCUGGGCCUGUGUUGUCUCAGGAUGCAGGAAGGGGGGCCAAACUUGGACCACUUUUAUCCUCUGGCCUCCUUGAACCACCAAGCUGCCCUUCCUUUCUUGGGCACAGCUGUGUCUCCGGCCUGCAAAUUUACGAGCAUGGAGGGACGAGGGAAUGGAGCAAAUGGGGAACCUGAAAAGGAGGACAAUGUUCAGUUGCAAGACAGGCAGAAAAGGUUAAGCACAUGUGCACUGUGCUGUGCUCAUCAUGCAUCUGAGGUCAACAACAGCUGUAAAGAGAGAGACAUAGAACUUGCCAAGCAUUGCUCUUCAGAACUGUGUCCUUGCAUUACAGACUGAAGGGAGAAGGGGAGUUAGUGAUGUUUACGGUAGAAGUAGUGUGGCAUGGCAGGAAGGAGAUCAAAGAAACGUGGAUAUAUAGAACCUUAGAAUUGUAGUGUUUUGUCAGAAUUUCAUUUCUUGUGACUUGAAGCCAUUGGUUUGAGUCCUACCCUCCAAAGCAGGAGAAAACAAGCUUGUUCCCCCUUCCAGGUGGCAGCCCUUCAGAUAUUUGAUGAUGGCUAUUAAGAAUUUUAAAGUCUCAUAUAUGGAAUAACCUGCCAACCUAGCAGUUCGAAAGCACGUCAAAAUGCAAGUAGAUAAAUAGGAACCGCUACAGCAGGAAGGUAAACGGUGUUUCCAUGUGCUGCUCUGGUUCGCCAGAAGCGGCUUAGUCAUGCUGGCCACAUGACCUGGAAGCUAUACGCCGGCUCCCUCGGCCAAUAAUGCGAGAUGAGCACGCAACCCCAGAGUCGGUCACGACUGGACCUAAUGGUCAGGGGUCCCUUUACCUUUACCUUUAUAUGGAAUAAAUGUUCACAAAUGUACACAUAUCUAAAUAUAUGAACCAUGUGUCUGAAAUAGUACAGGAGAGCAAUCCUGAAGCCAUUUUGACUCUCCCAAUGACCUCAGAUAUUCUUCUGCAGUAAGGGAGGCCUGUGGGGAAAGACUUCCCAUUGUCUUUUCGCUUGCAAAUCCUGUCUUAAGGGCGUAUUUGUGUAUUAAUGGCCAGGCUACCCAGUGACCAUUACCAGGUAUCACGGCAUACAGGAUUUCUGCUUUAGCUCGCCGCCUCCUGUGAUUUCUGCUGUAGACUGCCUUCUUCUGUGACAUAUGUAUGAUGUUGGGGGGGGGGUAUUCUGGUCUACAGGGUAGGCAAUUUCAAAAGUCUAUAUAAGGGCUUGUGCAUCAUUGUUCAGGGUUCUCCCUCCUGCAUGUGGUGAGUGGGGACCCUGUUGCAACAGUUCCUUGAAUAAAGAUCAGGCUCACUAGCCGCUUUCCUUCUCAAUAUACUCUGGUUGCCUCUGUUAUUUUCUCCUACCAAUAGGGAACCCACUUAAGCUCUCCUUGCAGGCUCUGGAAUACCCCAUAAGGGAAAGGGAGCAGUUUUUCUUAUAACAAUAUCUCCUCUCAAUCUCCUUUUCUCCAGGCGAAACAUACCAAGCUCCCUCAACUGUUCCUCAUAAGGCUAGUCUUCUAGACCCUUGAUCAUCUUAUUUACCGUCCUCUGUACACAUUCCAGCUUGUCAACAUACAAAUUGUGGGAUGCGCAGGAAGUCAGGCCAUCUGUCCCCUUGGCUCAGUGUUGUCAGUGACUGGCAGCAGCUCUCCAGGGUUUUCAGGAAGAUGGCAGUUCCAGCCCUACCUGGAUAUGUCUUGAGGACUGAACCUGGGGCCUCUCCAUGCAAGGCAGAUGCUCUUCCACUUAGAUAUGGCCUGUCCCCAAUCAUAGGAGUCUGUCUCAUACCAAGUCAGAAGCAGUUUGGGGAAUGUCUUGCUCAUCUUCCAGCUCCCAUCAUCCCUGACCACUGGCCAUGCUGCCUGGGAACAAUGGGAGUUGGAGUCCAAUAAGGAAUGUACAGUAGUACCCAAUCUCUGCCUUAUUGCUACUAACCACAAUGGAGGCAAUGCUACGGCUUCUGCAUCCCCGUCUCCAGUUCACCGGUAUCCAGAACCCCUCUCAAUCAAAAGUCGGUAAGGGAAAUGCCCCUUGUAACAUUUAACAAAAUUGAAAAAGAGCGGCGUUUAGGCAGGGUAGCUGGCCCUUUUUCUGCCCCCCCUUUCAAAAAAUUUAUAGUUUCCCCGCUUGGCAUAGUGCCCAAUAAACUCCCUGGUGAGUUCCAUAUGAUACACAACCUGCCAUAUCCUAGGGGCGGGUCUGUAAAUGAUGCCAUACCAUGUGAGCAUACCUUUGGCCGCUGACAAGACCGAGGGCCCGUCUACGGUCCUUUCCUACUUGGGUAUUGAACUGGACACACUUCAGCCAUUAUCACGCCUCCCACAGUCCAAACUCAAAUCCUUGAAAGCGUUGCUGGAAACAAUGCUGGGGGUUAAAAAGGCUACCCUUCUUCAGGUUCAAUCCCUAAUGGACCACCUCAAUUUUGCAUGUAGGGUAGUUGCGACAGGUCGUGCUUUCUGUGCACGCUUGGUGCAGCUCACGGCCGGGGGGGGGUAGCCCCCCACCAUCACUUCAGGGUGACAAAGCAGAUAAAGGAUGAUUUGAAGACUUGGCUUGCAUUCUUGUGGGAUUAUAAUGGGGUCUCAUUUUGGCACAAAAACAAAAAAACCUCAAUCCUGGGGUGGAGUUCCAGGUCCAUUCUGAUGCUUCUGGCCACUAUGGUUUUGGCGUGUUCUUCAGGGGCCAUUGGUGUGCCCAACCGUGGCCAUCCUCUUGGCAUGUAGCAGGCAUCACAAAAUGCUCAUACCAAUGACAAACUUAGUUGGUCUCUAAGGUGCUGCUGGAAGGAUUUUUUUUAUUUUGUUUUGACUACGUCAGACCAACACGGCUACCUACCUGUAACUAUUCAUUAAAAAUAGUUUAAAAAUAGUUAAAUAUCCAGAGAAGUGCUGUUCGCUGUCCCCCCACAUCUCGGAGACCCCAGUGGCUUCAACUAGAAGUAAAGAAGAUUCAGGACAGAUAAAAUACUUCUUUAUGCAGUGCAUAGUUGUGGCGUUUACCCGUUCUUUUGGAAAUGUCUUUACAGGGGGAGAGAAAGGAAUGGGUACGUAGACCAAUAGAAAAGCCCAGAGGCUUUAUAAAUAGUUAUAACCUGACUGAGUCUGAAUAUAUUACCGGGGAAAGCUGGUUGGUGGCAGUGGAAGAGAAUAGACGUGGUGGCACAGGAUCAAUAGUCCGUGGAACGACCGGGGGCUCUGUGUGAACGCCACAGUAGUUAACCUGUGGAACUCGCUCUCACAGGAGGCAGUGAUGGCCACCAACUUGGAUGGCUUUAACAGAGUUUUGGACAAAUACAUGGAGGAGGAGGAGAACACACUUGAUGGCAUCUGGUUAUUGUUAUAAGAAUUGUAAGGUCUUAGAUAUAUAAUAAAUGUUCAUAAAUGAUACAAGGCAAACACGUACAUAAAUAUAUAAACCAAUGACUGAAAACAGUACAGGAAGACAGUCCUGGAAGCAAUUUGACUCUUAAACUGAUCAAAUGUUUCACUGCAAGGAGGGAGGGGGUGAGGGAACCUUCCCAUUGUCUUAGGAAUUAAGUGAUUACCAUCUCAAAGGAAUGGCCAGACUACCAGGAAAGGAAAUUAGAUAAGGCAUUAUCACCUGGCAGACAGGAAUUUCCACCUGCUCCGGUUGGCCUAUGACCCGCCACCUGGCCAGGUAGGACAAAGGAUGCCUGGCCAGGGGGAGGUGGAGUUAGGCCAGGCAUCCCCAAACUUCGGCCCUCCAGAUGUUUUUGACUACAAUUCCCAUCUUCCCUGACCUCUGGUCCUGUUAGCUAGGGAUCAGGGGAGUUGUAAGCCAAAACAUCUGGAGGGCCGCAGUUUGGGGAUGCCUGAGUUAGGCCAAAGAAAGUAGGUCAAGCCUCUUUGUUCUUUCUUCCUGCUGGAGUCAAGAACUUCAUGAGCGUUCUCUUACGGAUCCAGGUACGUACAGGCCUUUUUAUGAUUUUAUUGUGGGUCGGGGGCAUGGCCCACUGCCCGGCUAGGCCGCAAUUUGCAGCCUUUCUUUGACGGUUUAGAACGUCUAAUUUCUUCUGUUCUCCGGGCACCCCAUGGCCCUUAAUUAGGCCGAUGGGCUGCCCUGCGGCCUGUUGUUGCGGCGGCAUGCAGGGGGUCCUGCGGGCCCAUCCGCGGCCGCCACUCCUGUUGGGGGUUGCGUGCGCCUGAGGGGGGGCUGCGCUGUGGCCUGUUGUUGCAGCAGGGGCAUGUCCCAUGGGCUCAUCCACCACUGCCGCUCACCUGGGCGCUCUCUCCAGGCCCAAUGUCUAUCUGGGCGCUCUCUCCAGGCCUGAUGUUUCCUUUUGUCUAUCUUCAUGUUGGGAGGGAUGCAAUCAGGCUCCCUUCCCAUGCGGCGGCGUUUGCAGGAGCCCAUUAAAGGGCAAAAAUCGGGAGUCCCUGGCCCUAGAGCGGCGGCAGAUAGGUCAAACUCCCAGGAUGGGGUUAGUGGAAGGGCAAUAGUGGAAGGUAAGUCUGCACUUUACAGUCCCCUCUCACUGUGCCUCAUCCGCCUGCGUAUCCUCAGCCAGACAGGCUGAGAGGGUUACCUGCCAAGGACUAGGCCAAGUUUCCCACUUCUGAAGUUCAAUAAAGUUGUGGCCAAUUUUAACCCAUACUCUGGUCUCUUGUCUCAUUAUUUGGGGAAUCAGGCACCACAGACAGGGUUUAGCGCGUGUGUGUCCGCAAAAACAACAUUAAAAUUUCUGUUGUAAACCACCUUUUCUGUGAUCUAUGUAUGAGGUUUCUGGGGGUGGUCUUGGACUCCAGGGUGGGCAAUUUGAAAUGUCUAUAUAAGGGCAGGCACACCUUUGUUCUGGGUCCUUCUCUUUUCUCCUGUGUGAGAGAGAACACCCUGUUGCAACAGGUCAAUAAAGAUCAGGCUUACUAGCUGCUUUGCUUCUCAAUAUUCUCUGGUUGGCCUCUGUUUUUUCCCUCCUACCGAUGGAGAACCUACAAAGGACUCUCUAAGGGCAGAUUAAGCUAUCUGAAGAAGUGUGCAUGCACACGAAAGCUCAUACCAAAAUAAAAACUUAGUUGGUCUUUAAGGUGCUACUGAAGGAAUUUUUUUUUAUUUUACUUCGACCCAGACCAACACGGCUACCUACCUGUAACCAGGGCAGAUUUUGUUUACAACAUUGGCCACUGUGAGAGCAGUAUGCUAGACUAGAUGGGCAACUGCCUGAUCCACCUGGGCUCUUCGCUUCUUGUGCUAUCCAGUGCAAUUUCCUGUCACCUUUCUUAUAACCAAUAGUCUGAUCCUUUAGGGUAGUGGGUUUGUUGUGCAAUACCUCCCAACUCACUAUAAUUGCACAAACUGAAAUUGCCAGUGAUAUAGAAAAAAUAGGGGUGGUUGGCUUUUGCUGCCCAACUCCCCCAAGGGACUGAGUCCCCUAAGUCCAUGAUCGGUCAGAGAUGAAUGGAUGGAGGCAGGAGGCUGUGAACCCAGAAGAAACAUCUCUUUUAAGGGUUUGCAUUUUGGCUUGGAGAAGAAGGACACCCCCUUUACAAACAGAAAUUACUAUGCACAUAAGAUGGUGUUGCUGUGGCUCAGGCAGGCCAAGGUGUGCUAUUCCUGAGGAUUUAGCAAGUUUUACAUAGUUCCAGACACAGUUUACACAAAACAUUAGCAUUUGAUAAGACAAUCAGGAUGCCAACAGACAUCUCUGGAUGCAGAGCAUCUGGGCAAACAAUGACAAUACAAAGGAGCUUCAUAGAUAUAGGAGAGGAAUCCCUUCAGGAACUUCUCCUGAUUGCUAUCUGCCUACCUGUUCUCAGGCAAGGGGGAUUAAGGAGGCAGAGGGAAUAUUUAGUCUUUGGGAGAGCCAAGAUUGCUUUUGGAUUGCUCUCCUGUACUGAUUUAGACAUGUGGCUUAUAUACUUACGUAUAUGUGUUUACCUUGUGCAGUCACCAACAUUUAUUCUAUAUCUGAGACCUUAGAAUUCCUAUAACAAUACCAUGUGAUUGUAUCUCACUCAGCAGGAGUCUGGAAAUGUCCUUAAACUCAGUGGCAAUGAGUUGGUUGGGAACUGCAUCAUGGCU